CCCCAAUCACGCCGCCAAUGAGAACCCCGUCACUGUCCUCCUCUUCAUCCUCGCCGCGGCCCACCGCCUCCGCCGGUUCCUCCUCCUCCUCCGCCGCCGCCGCCGCCGCCGCGCAGUCUCGCCACCACUUCGCGCAGGGCGCCCAGCUCCUCGCCCGUGCGCGCGCCGCCGCAGGGACCAAGAAGCGGAGCCCCCCGCGCGGCGCUCGCCGAGGCCGACCGCGCCAUCACCCGUCGACGCCGCCACCUCACCCGACCCGUGCUCCCUCCCCGUCCCCAAUCCCGACGAAUCCUCCAUCGCGCCGCCGCCGGCUUCCACCACGCCCCCCGACCAUCCCCCCUCUCCCCAAUCCCGGCAGCUCCUCCCAUCUUGCGAGUCACCGAUCGCCCAAUGCGGGUUUGUCGUUGCAGUGAUCGAACCGUCGCACCGCCGCCGGCUUCCACUGCGCCCCCCAGCCAUCUCUCCUCCUCCCCAAUCCCGGCGGUCUCCGUCACGCCGCCAUCAAGUCGUCAUCGAUUACUCGCCCUCCGAUACCCAUCGCGCCUCCUCGCCCCCACUCCGCUAGCCAGAAUCAUUCCGGUGCAGCCAGCGACCCCAACAGCUCCUCUCGCCACCACCACCACCGUCUUCUCCCUUUGUCCAGCUCAGGUGACCGGAGAGAAAGAGAGAGCGCAAUGUGUCUUUCUGGGCCAAGCGCUUCCAGAAUUCCUCUUCCCUAGGCCCGCACACGACACGCCGGGCCACCGUUUGGCCUCUCGCCGCCGGUGACUGGAGCUGAGAACGAGCCCCCCCCCCCCCCCCCCCCGCCCCUUUCGCCGUGGGCUCCGUCACCUCGAGCCUCCUUGCGCUGCCGCUGCAAGCAAUGUCGUCAGCCUUUAGGUACGCAUGAUCCUAUGUCGCUGCCCAUUCCUGGCCAGUGCCCGGUCCCACACCUGCUCACUCUCCACCGUGGCCGUCGCGGCGGCCGUGCGGCGCGGUGACCUCACCGGCGCGGAGGAGGCGUUCGCAUCCACGCCACGGAAGACCACGGCCACCUACAACUGCCUCCUUGCCGGCUACGCCAGGGCGCUCGGCCGCCUCGCGGACGCACGCCACCUGUUCGACCGAAUACCGACCCCGGAUGCUGUCUCCUACAACACGCUCCUCUCGUGCCACUUCGCCAGCGGCGACGCCGAUGGCGCCCGGAGGCUCUUCGCAUCGAUGCCGGUCAGGGACGUCGUGUCCUGGAACACCAUGGUGUCGGGGCUGUCCAAGAGUGGGGCCGUGGAGGAGGCCAAGGCCGUGUUCCUAGCAAUGCCAGUGAGGAACUCCGUUUCCUGGAACGCCAUGGUUUCCGGGUUCGCCUGCUCUAGAGACAUGAGCGCGGCGGAGGAGUGGUUUAGGAAUGCGCCGGAGAAGGGGGACGCCGUUCUGUGGACUGCGAUGGUGUCGGGGUACAUGGAUAUCGGCAAUGUGGUGAAGGCCAUCGAAUACUUUGAGGCAAUGCCAGUGAGGAACUUGGUUUCAUGGAAUGCUGUGGUUGCUGGGUAUGUGAAGAAUUCACAUGCGGAUGAUGCUUUGAGGCUGUUCAGGACCAUGGUCAGGGAGGCCAAUGUUCAGCCAAAUGCAUCGACGUUAAGCAGCGUGCUUCUUGGUUGCAGUAACUUGUCUGCACUUGGAUUUGGUAAGCAGAUACAUCAGUGGUGUAUGAAGCUUCCGUUGAGUAGGAACUUGACGGUGGGCACGUCACUUGUGAGCAUGUAUUGCAAGUGUGGGGACUUGAGUAGCGCGUGCAAACUGUUUGGUGAAAUGCAUACGAGGGAUGUGGUUGCGUGGAAUGCUAUGAUAUCUGGCUAUGCUCAGCAUGGAGAUGGGAAGGAAGCUAUCAAUUUAUUUGAAAGGAUGAAGGAUGAAGGAGUUGAGCCCAACUGGAUUACUUUUGUGGCAGUAUUGACUGCUUGUAUCCACACUGGCUUGUGUGAUUUUGGAAUACGGUGUUUCGAGGGAAUGCAGGAAUUGUACGGAAUUGAGCCUCGGGUUGAUCAUUACUCAUGCAUGGUGGAUCUUCUCUGCAGAGCUGGUAAGCUUGAAAGAGCUGUGGACUUGAUCCGCUCAAUGCCCUUUGAACCACAUCCUUCUGCAUAUGGAACCUUAUUGGCUGCUUGUAGAGUUUAUAAGAACUUGGAGUUUGCUGAGCUUGCGGCUGGAAAACUGAUUGAAAAGGAUCCACAGAGCGCAGGUGCCUAUGUACAACUUGCAAAUAUCUAUGCUGGCGCAAAUCAGUGGGAUGAUGUCUCUAGAGUAAGGAGGUGGAUGAAGGAUAAUGCAGUUGUGAAAACACCUGGGUAUAGCUGGAUAGAGAUUAAGGGUGUGAUGCAUGAGUUUAGAUCAAAUGACAGAUUGCACCCUCAGCUUUACUUGAUCCAUGAAAAACUGGGCCAGUUAGCGGAGAGGAUGAAGGCAAUGGGUUAUGUUCCAGAUCUUGAUUUUGUCCUGCAUGAUGUGGAUGAAACUCUGAAGGUGCAGAUGCUAAUGAGGCACAGUGAGAAGCUUGCUAUUUCUUUUGGUCUGAUUAGUACUGCUCCUGGGAUGACCUUGAGGAUUUUCAAGAAUCUCAGGGUUUGUGGAGACUGUCAUAAUGCAGCCAAGGUCAUCUCCAAGAUCGAGGAUCGAGAAAUCAUUUUGAGGGAUACUACACGAUUCCACCAUUUUAGAGGAGGGCAUUGCUCAUGUGGUGAUUACUGGUGAAGAAUGUCGAUGACAACAGAUAUAUACUGGCAUUUUUUUAUGGGGAUUCAGCACUAUUUAGUCCUGUAACAAGGAAAAAUGUUGAUCACUGUAUACAGGAAGCACUCAACAGUCAACAUGUGAGCAAUUUACCAAUGCGAUUUAUUCCUGAUGUUACUUUUGACAGGUUUUUAUGCUUUCCAGACUAGGUGACAAGUAAUAUACACAUUCCCUCGAGUACAUAUCGGUGCAUGAAUACAUAUCAAGACUGUAUGGAAGGAUUGAUGAAGUGCAUUUUACUUAUCACAUGACCGACCAAUGUCCAAUGAUGAACUGCAAGAUAUAGAGAAAGUGUCAAUUCUGAGUCCUUUUCUGUUUCAUAUGGUGAGAGCAUCUUUUCAAGAUGGUCAUGGAAAGGAAUAACAGUGAGAUUGGUGAAGGCCAGCAAUCAGCAUCAUCUGCAAAGGUCAUAAGGUAGAGAUUCUCUACAUUUUCCAUGUCAAAAAAAGCAUUUCCCGCAAUGUAGAGAUCAUCAGCAUCAACUCCACAAUAUUCAGGAGCCUGGGGAAUACUGUAAGAACAAGGUAGCGUGAGGGACAUUCUUCUCGGGACAGACAAUAUAUGCUCUAGAUGUCUAUUACAGUGAUUUCUGAAUAUGCCGCCGUCUUAAGAACAAGGCAGGGUGAGGCAAUACAAAGAAAAACUUUUUCAGCUUGUGAUGAUAUUUUCAGCACAAUGUGUGAUCAUAUGUCAUAACUUAUGCAGAACAAGGUAGAGUGAGGCACAUUCUUCUCGGACAGAGAAUAUAUAGAAGAGUGGCAAGACAAAGAAAAACUCUACAUGCAUAUUCCAGUGAUUUCUGAAUAUUCACUGUUAUAUGUUCUCGCUUUGUUCACCUAUAAAUCAGCAUCUUAUAUUAUCUCUGGUGCAGCAGAAACCCGUCAUGCUAACAAGGUUACGGCGUCGCAAAAUAUUGGAAAAGAGAAGUUUGUGGUUCUGAAAGUGUCGAUCUGUGUAUAUCAUAGCUUUUGUGGCUGAAUGUAUACUACUUGUAAUUGCAAUUGUGAAGUACCUGUAAAAAAAAAACAUACUGGUUUAUUCUUCCGUUGCCUUAUGUCUGUCAUAGUUGGAUUGGAGUGUUUUGAUUGAAAUUUGGAUUUAGACCCGGUC